rnacentral:rRNA from 1 species
GACGAACGCUGGCGGCGGGCUUAACACAUGCAAGUCGAACGGAAAGGCCCUGCUUGUGUGGGGUGCUGGAGUGGCGAAGGGGUGAGUAACACGUGAGUAACCUGCCCUUGACUUUGGGAUAACUUCAGGAAACUGGGGCUAAUACAGGAUAGGAGCUGCUGCUGGAUGGUGGGGGUUGGAAAGUUUCGGCGGUUGGGGAUGGACGCGCGGCUUAUCAGCUUGUUGGUGGGGUAGUGGCUUACCAAGGCUUUGACGGGUAGCCGGCCUGAGAGGGUGACCGGGCACAUUGGGACUGAGAUACGGCCCAGACUCCUACAGGGGACAGCAGUGGGGAAUAUUGCCCAAUGGGCGGGAGCCUGAUACAGCAACGCCGCGUGCGGGAUGACGGCCUUCGGGUUGUAAACCGCUUUCGCCUGUGACGAAGCGUGAGUGACGGUAAUGGGUAAAGAAGCACCGGCUAACUACGUG